CCAGAAUCUUUGUGAUAUUCUCCACUGUAUCCUUCAAUUCUCAACUAAAAAAACAUGUCUUCCCGCAGUGUUAUUACUACAUGCAGUAGGAAGGCCUCAAAGUGAGGAGAUUGCUGUGAGGCCUGUUCACACAGGGACGUUUUUCGACGCCCAGGCGUUAAAUGCGGGCGACGCCCUGAAUGAAAGUGCAAAUCCACUCCCUGACAGUAAAUGGGGUUUAUUUAAAAGCAGAAAUACUCCGGUACACAAGGUGGCGUUGCACAACUUUCCGUUUCUGAUACCUGCUCAUCACUGACAAGAAGAAGAGAGCCAGUAUUUACUUCUUUGCAAAAACUGUUCACACACAUUUAUCGAACUCGCUAAAGCACGUAUGUAGUUUUGUGAAAUCUGACUACGAGAUCCAAGCUUCUGACUGAAACACAGCAACUCAAACAACAAAACUCAGGAGCUCCGCAAUCUCCUGCCCAAAUAUCAAAACUCAAAGGAGGCCAGAUACAUAUUACACAACCACCCCCCACCCCCUUCCUUGGUACACACAAAACAGGAGACAUAAGAUCUGCUGAUGUGAAUGACUACAGAAAACAUUGCUAUUGUCCUGUCAAUCAAUAAAACAAGCAGUAUCAAGUUCAAACUUCCUCCAUAACUAGAGAACAGGUAUAUUCUUAAAUCAAGUUUCCACUGCAAAAUGAAUGAAUGCAAUGAAUACGGUCACAAAAUCCCAGUGUGUGUAAUUUUUCUUCAUGUCUGAUCUCACAAUUAGGUUAGAGCUUUUAAUGUUUACUUAUGCUGAAGAACCA
ensembl:lncRNA